rnacentral:rRNA from 1 species
AUGGUCGAGCUACAUAAGGCGGCCGAUCGGGCCAUGAAGAGCUUUAUUAUCCGGCUGUGGCCUGGCGACGCCCUUCCGAACAGCUUCUUCGCCCUGGUGAGGCGGCUUGUGGAUGCCUGCCCGCGGCUGGAGGUCGUCAAGCGAUAUGUCUGCAUUGAAGGUGCACGCCGGGCUUUCGCCCGUGUGAAAUUGCACUGGGUCAAGCUAGAUGCCGUGAAGCUGAUAAAGGAGGGGCCGCCGGAGGGCAAGGAGCACCGCCACCCCGAGAUGUACUACGAGGGUGUUCUGCCGGGUGCCCGUCUCAUCGCGGAUGAGUGUUCAAAAGAUGUAAUAUUUGAAUGA